AACGCACCUUGCGCUCCUUGGUAUUCCAUGGAGCAUGCCUGUUUGAGUGUCACGUUAACCCUCAUCUCUGGGAUGUCAAAGUCUUCAGAGGUGGAUUUGGACCGUGCCGUAGCCGGCUCGUCCUGAAAUGCAUUAGCUUGCGCCCUUUAGAGUGCUCGGCAUGGUGUGAUAAUUAUCUGCGCCGUCGCCCAAGGCCUCUUCUACAAGCGCUGCUUACAGUCGUCCCUUGCGGACAACAUCAUUAAGCUUUGACCUCAAAUCAGGUAGGACUACCCGCUGAACUUAA
rnacentral:misc_RNA from 1 species